GCACAUAUAGUUUAUCUGGGAAAAUAAUUGAUUUCCAAUCAUUAAUAGUGGGUUCAAGUCCCACUAUGUGCA
rnacentral:tRNA from 1 species